GUCCCUAUCGAUUAGUGGUCAGAUCAUCACGUUGUGGUUCACACAAUUCCGUGAAGACGCCGGCUCGAAUCCGGCUAGGGACA